rnacentral:lncRNA from 1 species
GUACGUCCGUUUUUAAAUAUUUUACUAAUAAUUUAUUUUUUUCUUUGAAGGCCGUUUCCCGAGCGAACUCUCAGAACCGGCAACGCAACACAAGGAACCAUCAUGGCGGUUCUAGACCGUUCGCUGUCUUCAUGGACGAGGCGGCCAGAGAACAUCCAGAAGUCAACCGGUACGUCUAUACGUACGAGAAGGCAUAUCCUGACUCCCAAGAGGAUAUUGUAAGUCAUCUUACGUUUUUAAAUUUUUAAAUUUACUUAUAUAUAUAUGUCAAAAUGUUAAUUAAUAAUUUUUUCCUAUCCAUAUAGGCGAAGGUGAGGGAGGCUAGUGACGAGGUGAUGAGUGCUAUAGUGAGGGAGACAUGGCCGGACACGCAGGAGGAAGAGAUG